GCUUUACAGAGCGCUCAGACGACGACGAAGUCAAGCAGCCCCCCUUCUUACAGUUGCCAUCGUACAAAGCUUUAUUAUAGACUAUUAGCACCGUGUCUACAUUGCAAAACGCGACGCUACAAAACUUCAAGCAAAUCAAUACAAUAUUAGUUGAUUAUAACGGUCGCGUUCUAUUUUUGUCGCGUCGCGUGAGAUAAUUACGUAAUUACGCACUUGAGUCGGUUCCUAAGAGCGUAUACAAAUAUAUCGCGCUUGUUUGCUUUGACCAGUAAUUUUAAAUCACACGAGAACGGGUUUUCGUGAAGUUAAAUACAUGAUAAACUUAUUUAGAAGACGGAGAACACGGCAAGGAUCAGUCGAAGUGGAGAUGGCAUCCUUUUUGGACAUUUAUACAUUUUCUCACAAGGCAUUUCUGCUGUCAGCGCUGGAGGAAAAGUCACGGGCAUCUACGAAGAAGUUUGCGAAAGAAAGUUCAUCAGACGGAUCUUUCUUAGAAAAUACAGACAUUCCGAUUGUAACUUAGCACGAGGCCGCAGGUGUUCACCCUACUGAUGUUCUCUACUACAGGCGAAUUCUCCAGUCCGGGUUUUCCAUUUCCUGCUCAGUACUGAGAAAAACCCGCCCAGAGAGAGAGAGAGAGCGGUGGGCGAAGACAUGGAGGCUCUGACUUUAGAAAACCGCUGCUCUGUUCAGGCUGGCACCAAGUCUGAUGACUUUUCCCAGACGAUUCAGUCAAGACAUAGAGAGAGGGGGCAGAAAGAGAGCCUUCUUGUCCAAUAAGAGGAAAGGGGACUGAAGAAUGUGAAAAGCUCCCAUUCAGGCCGGUUCACAGGGGCUGGGAGCGGCCACAUCCUCAGGAGGGAGGAGGGGUUGCUGCUUUCAGGAGGGUGGGCUAGGGAUCCUGGACAGGGGCCAAGAGCGAUGCAGAGGCUCCUCGGAUGACGCUGGUCCGUGGGAGCGUCCAGUGCCUCCGCCUCUCCUCUGUCCCUUAGGACACCGACUCUGGACUCCUCACAUUCUAUUUACUUGCACAAACAAUCUCUCCCCGUAGUCCUUCUACCCUCAGAGCAGAAGCAGCCAGUAGGCUGCAGGAUGAGGAAUGCAUCUCUAUUAAUAGAGCGGUUAGAUUAUCUCAAAGACUAAUGACUGGCAUGUCCAGAUUCCUGAAAGGCAUGGCAGUGACGUACUUUCAUCCACCGGUCUUCAUGAUCUCAUUUCCUCUGAUAUUCUAUGAAUUUAACUGGUGGGUCUCUUUUUAAAACAGUUUAUAUUCCACUUGCGCAACUUUAUCCUCACUUAUAGUUAAUGAAAGCAUUAACAUUUUUUCAUUAACGUUUUUUUUUUUAUUUAAAGUGACUUACAAAUGUGGAACAUCAAAUGCGAGAAAAAAAAUUUAAUUAAAUGACAAGUAAAAAUAAAAACAUAAAUGGAAAAAUCUAAAAUGGUCACACAUUAAUUUUAGUUUAUAUAUAUAUAUACACACACACACACACACACACAGUCAUGGCACCCUUGGUAAAUAUGAUCAAAGAAGGCUGUGAAAAUUUAUCUGCAUUGUUAAUCCUUUUGAUCUUUUAUUUAAAAAAUUCACAAAAAUCUAACAUUUCAUUGGAUAAUAAGAAUUUAAAAUGGGGGGAAAUAUCAUUAUGAAAUAAAUGUUUUUCUCUAAUACACAUUGGCCACAAUUAACGGCACCCUUUUAUUCAAUACUUUUUGAAACCUCCAUUUGCCAGUUUAACAGCUCUAAACUUUCUCCUAUAAUGCCUGAUGAGGUUAGAGAACACCUGACAAGAGAUCAGAGACCAUUCCUUCAUCCAGAAUCACUCCAGACCCUUUAGAUUCACAGCUCCAUGUUGGUGCUUCUUCUCUUCAGUUCACCCACUCAAUUUCUACAGGGUUCAGAUCAGAGGACUGUGACGGCCAGCAGAGGCUUGGUUUUGUGCUCAGUGACCCAUUUUUGUGUUGUUUUUGUGGUUUGUGUUUGGAUUAUUGUACGUUUGGAAGAUCCUAACAUGGCCCAUUAUAAGAUUUCUAACAGAGUCAGUCACUUAUUGAUUUUUUUAUCUGUUGGUAUUUGAUAGAAUCCAUGAUGCCAUGUGUCUAAACAAGAUGUCCAGGACCUCCAGCAGAAAUAUAGGUCCACAACAUCAAAAAUACAGCAGUAUAUUUCAUUGUACACAUGGGGUACUUUUUAUCCCUGUGUUCACCAAACCCAUCUUGAGUGUUUGCUGCUAAAAAGCUAAUUUUUUAGUUUCAUCUGACCAUAGAAGCCAGUCCCAUUUGAAGUUCUGGUUGUGUCUGAUAACUGAAUAUGCUGGAGUUUGUUUUUGGAUGAGCGUGGAGAAUUUUUCUUGAAACCCUCCCAAACAACAUGUGAUGAUGUAGGUGCUGUUUGACGAUUUUUUUUUUUAAGGUUUUCUGACCCCGAGACACAACUAUUUUCUGCAAUUCUCCAGCUGUGGUCUUUGGAGUGUCUUUAGCCACUCAAACUCUCCUUCUCACCGUGCAUUAGGACGAUAUAGACACACGUCCUCUUCCAGGCAGUUUUGUAACAUUUUAUGUUGAUUGGAAAUUCUUAAUUAUUGCCCUGAUGGUGGAAAUGGGAAUUUUCACUGCUCUAGCUCUUUUCUUAAAGCCACUUCACUAAUUUGUGAAGCUCAAUUAUCUUUUGCUGCACAUCAGAAAUAUAUUCUUUGGUUUUUCACAUUGUGAUGGAUGAUUAAGGGAAUUUGGGCUUUGUUUUCCCUCCGGGAUAAUUUCAUGUUCAUAAUCACCCUGGAGUGCUCAAAAUUGUGAAUAUGAAUGGGAAUAUACUUCAGAGAUAUUAUACUCUGAGAAUUUCUAGGGGUGCCAAUAAUUGUGUCCAACGUGUAUUUGAGAAAAACAUUUAUUUCAUAAUGAUAUUUCCCCCCAUUUUAAAUUCUUAUUAUCCAAUGAAAGGUUAGAUUUUUGUGAAUUUAUUAAAUAAAAGAUCAAAAGGAUUAACAAUGCAGAUUAAUUUUCACAGCCUUCUUUGAUCAUAUUUACCAAGGGUGCCAAUAUUUUUGGCCACGACUGUAUGUGUAUAUAUAUAUAUAUAUAUAUAUAUAUAGUUUUUUUCCCCCAUCAAACAAUAACAACACACAAGAUGGUGUUAGAAUAUUUAACAAUGUUAUUUAUUUAUUUAUUUAUUAAAUAUACCAGAUAGCACAUUUAGUUUUGGUAGCCCUAAAAGUCAAACUAGAACAAAAGUAAACUCAAAACUAAAUAAAACUUGUAAAAAAAAAAUUUAUAUUAAUAAACUAUUAACUAAAAUAAUUGAAAAAAAAACAACAACAACUAAAUUCUAAAUAAUAGCCUGCUUAAGUGUUUGUAUUUGCAUUGAUUGUAAUGCAAUAUUCAGGUAUUCUUGGGUCAAGAAAUUCUUUUCUAAGCCAUGGCCAGAUCUCUCCAUCCCAGCCUGACUUGGGAACCUUUAUGAGCUUCAGGGAGUGUAAACAUCCUACACUCUCAGCUGGAGCCCAGCCCAAGGCCGGGAGUGGGAUGUUUGCGCUCUCUGGCUCAGGAACGCCACGCUCACUGCGGCUGCGCUACGGAGGGGAAAAGCUUAUUCAGAAAAAGUCGUCUAGAUGUUCUCAUCAUCUAUUGAGUCUCAGUAGACCUGAAAUUACACCUGACCACUUUGUGGGAAUAUACACUGAAACAGUGGAGUAGGUAGCAAUCACCUAACUAUCUAUCUAUCUAUCUGUCUACCUAAACAUACAGUAUAUUCAUUGUGUGUAAAGUAUGUUAAAAAGCUCAGGAUAAAAGAAGACAGCUUCUUCCUGGACUUUGUGGCUAGGUCGAAGUGGAUAGAUUUUGAAGUGGAUACGAGAGCUUUGUAACGCACACAGGAAGUGAACUCCAUUGUGAGCACUGGAAGGGCUCUGAGGGUGAGUGGCCUGUCAUUAAGCUGUUCAGGCUGAACUCUAGGUCUCUUUGAAGCUUUCUGACCCCACAGGGUGGGACAACUCUGUUCAACUGCAAGCGCCCCCUCCCAGACAGAGCUGCCGAUGGAAUUGCCUGAGAGGAAAUGACUAUUUAUACCCGCUAAGGAACAGAGAGAGGCACCCUUCCGAUGGGCGUAUCUCCUCUUGCUUCCUUUGACAAAUACGUUAGGACUGCUCUCAUGAAAGCUAACCCCAAGUCCACAAAGAUAUGCACAACAUCCAGUGCUCUCAAUGGUAUUUGUGUACACGCCUAACCGUGUUUUGGUUACCUUUCUCUCCUACUGCAAUGACCUUUACCCACUUUUGCUCGAUGAUGCCAUAGCUUAAGCAUCUCUUGUAUGUGACCACUAGGUGGCAGACUAACUCCAGAAAAUUCCUACAAGCUUUCAGACUUUGCUUGGAAAGAAAGUGAACAAAAAUGCCAUCUUUUUUGAAAAAAUUUAAAAUUAUUCACUACAAAACUUGUAAGGAUCUUCUUCUUAAGUAUGUGCCUCUAAUUCACCAAACCAGAAAUUCAUUAUUAUUCAUUUUACCCUUAUUAUUCAUAACUUAGCAUAAUGUUAACAUUAUUUAGUAAAAAAAAAUAAAAAUACUGUUGGUUUAAAAAAAACACAUUCUGCUAGUGUCACACACAUUUUGUUUUCUUAAAAAAGCGAUAGAAACAAUACUGUAAUUAGUUGUGGCUCUUUUAAAAUGACUGAUAGCACUACAUGUUUUUAAAUAUAUAUUUUGCUGAUCUUUUCAUAUUUUUUUUUACAAUAUCUCUCCAAGUAAUCACUGUGCUUUGCCUAAAACCAAAGUGAAAAGAGUUCAGUAACGUUUCCACCUCAUUCACCUGAAAGUACAUCUCCCUGCUAUGAAUGGGGAAAAAAAACAGAAAUGCUUCAAUCAAAUGACAGCCUCUGAUCAGAGCCGCUUUUCCUGUCAACUGGAGGAAUCGAAACAACUGAAGUAGGACAACAAAGACAUCAUUCAUUAUUAGUUUCACUUUUUCCCUUCUUGCGGUGCUCUUUGAACUGACUGAACUGAAUUUUUCUCAUUUCAUCUUGCUGCAAGAGAGCUACUGAAUUUAUAUCAAGUUCCUUUCAAAUGUUUCAAACGAUAAUCUCGCCCCACAGGUGGCACAGCAACAGGAAGCAAAAACUUGGUAUGUAUGUAUGUAUGUUAUGUGUAAAGUAAAACAGAAUUAUAGUAAACAAUGCAUUGUCAGCAAUAAACACAUCAGGAGAUUUUUCUGUGAAUGUUGUUCCUUGUUUGUUUAAUAAACCAUAUGCAACUGACUGUUUGAAUCGUCUGUUAUUGUUGUGGCCUCUUUUUUUUGGUCAGCAUUCCUCCUCAGUAAAAUGUUUCCUUAAUUCAAAAACAUGACAGUCAGUCGAAACCCCGUAUUUAGUUUUUGUCAGUAUAGUAAUAGUUUCGGGGGAUGUUGACACUCUCGACCACACGAGGAACUGAAACAUUUCAGUGUAGUCAGAUUUCAUUUAUUUGCUCUCAGCACUACACAACACAUCAGCAACAGAAAAAUAAUGAGCUGUGACUGUGUGUAACAUUCAAUAUAUAAUGCAUACUGUAUGGUACGUGUGGAACUAGCUCAUUUGACCUUGUGUGACAUCAAAAGCUUUAUAACACUUAAAUCAUAUUUGAUCCUCAUUAAAAAAAUUUAAAUCUCCAUUUUGUGAUGCUAUCAUUGAAGUUUAUAUUUAAAAACUGUAUUAAAGAUGGGAAGACGUGCCAACAAAUGCUACAAUUGCUAUUAACAGAAAUGGGAUCCAAAAGUCUGUGACCAAAUUGAAAAGAGGAUUCUAAAUCUAAUUUAAACUUGAAAACAAACAGAAUUAUUAUUUUUUUAAAGAAAUUAAUACUUUUAAUCAGCAAAUAUGCAUUAAAAUGACAGUAAAGACAUGUAAUGUUACAAAAAUGUAUACUUCAAAUAAAUGCUGUUGUUUUGAAAUUUCUAUUCAUCAAAAAGUCCUGAAAAAAGAGAUGUCCACAAAAAAUAUAAAGUAGCACAGAUGCUUUCAAUAUUGUUCAUGAUAAGUAUAUUAGAAUUAUUUCUGUAAUAAUAUUUCACAAUAUUACUGUAUUUAAUCAAAUAUAUACAGCCUUGGUGAGCAUGAGGCUUCUUUCAAAAACAUUAAAAUAAUCGGUAACACUUUAUUUUAGGGUCUCUUAACUAGUUGCUUAUUAGCCUGCAUAUUACUAGAAUAUUAGCUAUUUAUUAGUACUAAUUAAACCCAUAUUAAUGCCUUAUUCUACAUCACCUUAUUCUAAAUCCCUAAUCCCAAUACCUAAAUUUAACAACUACCUUACUGACUAUUAAUAAGCAGCAAAUUAGGACUUUAUUGAGGGAAAAGUCGUAGUUAAUAAUGAAUUAGUGUUCUCUAUUCUAAAGUUACCAAAUAAUAUUACCAACCCCAAAGCUAUUAACAGUCUUGUAAAUAGGGGUCAGGUGUCAAUGUACAAACCUAAACAGAUAAUGUAAGACUCUAUGUUAGUGCUUACUGGCAAAGUGUGACUCUCCCACUCUUGUUCUCUCUUUCUCAAGAAUACAUACUCCUGGUAUUAAGCCUGCGUGGGAACAGCUGUGUAAUGGCUGGGUAAUAUUUUGGACAAGCCCUAAAUGCACUUUGUCAUUGCAUGGCUAAAGGAAGGUCAUGACUUUUGAAGGCAUGUGGUUGCUAACAGUGAAGAAUUGAGUUGACAGAACUGGCCGUUUCAUUAGACGCACUGCUAUGAGUCCCAUCAGCACUUCCUCUUUACAGAAAACAGAAGUUCCCUCAAACAACAUCUGGGGUUUCAAGUUACUGUUGUCCCAAUGGGGAAUUGGGGAAAUAUACAUACAUACAUACAGUACAUAUAAAUUUGGUCAGGUUUUCAACUCUGCUUCCCGUGCAUGCUAAACAAAAACUAUACCACGGUCAAAACUGUAUCUAUCUGUAUCAGUUACUCCUGUGAUGGUAAAGCUGCAUUUUCAGCAGCCAUUCACAUGAUCUUUCAGAAAUCAUUCUAGUAUGCUAGAGUACAUUUACAAUAGGUCUGUAGAGUUCAGAAGUUCAGUUAAAGUGGAGAUGACAGACAGAAAGUGAGAGAGAGAGAGAAUGUAAAAGAGGAAGUCACCCAUAUUUGUCAGCUGGACAAAAUUCAAAUACUGUAGUACGGACAUUCCCUAGACGUGCACUAGAUAUAUGACACUACCAACACUGCGACCUCAAUCAUAAUAAAUUACUGUAAUGGAUGGGCUUAUAAACCUGUAAUCACGUAAAAUAACCCCUGUUAGCCUGAAUUAUGAAUGUAUAUCCCAUAUCCAAGUAUUACUAAAUUACAUGUCUAUAGUUGAGAUAAGGGAACACUAUAUUUUAAGGACCAAUUCUUAACUAGUUGCUUAUUAGCAUGCAUUACUAGCAUGUGGGUUGUUUAUUGGUAUCUAUAAAGCACAUAUUGAUGCCUUAUUCUGCAUGUCCAUAUUUUAGAUCCCUUAAUCCAACCCCAUAACUAAACUUAGUUAAUUAGGAGCAAAUUAGGAGUUUGUUCAGGGAAAACUAUGGAAAGUUAAUAGUGAAUAUGUGUUCCCUGUUCUAAAGUGUUACCAAAAAGGGGAAAAAAAGAACAUAAUUCGAUCAUUUCUAAAAAGCAUAUUGGCAAAACAUGUUUAUCUAUCGUUCAUAUUAGAGAAGCUCAGAGGAUAAGACUUGACUCGAGGUCAAAUUUUCAACAUGAUAUUACUACAGAGAGCAGAUGAUAGAGUUGGUGAUGCCGGAAGAGGUGAGGUAAGCAGCUGCUUAUACUCUUAUCAUUGUGGUUGACAGGAUUAUAUAAACAUUGCUCCUUAAAGACCCCAUGAAACCACAGUUUGUAGGUUUUUUUAGUCCCUGUCUCUUUGAAAAUUUCAAUAUACUGUACAAGUGUAAUGCUAAACGCUGAUAAACUUUUAGCAAAUAUAUACAUUAAUUUCCCAAAUUGUAAAUUUUAAAUCUCAUUAGUCCAGUCUUCAACAUCACAUGAUCCUUGAGAAAUCAUGGUGAUUUAUUAUCGAUGUUGAAAACAGUUUUUUGGGGGUUUUUUUGGAACCUGAAAAAUAUAUUUUUAGGAUUGUCUAAUGAAUAAAAAGUUCAAUUCAAAACUGUUUUGCAACAUAUAAAAUUAUUUACUCUUGCUUUUUUUUUUUUUUUUUUUAUCAAUUUAACAUAUCCUUGCUGAAUAAAAAGUAUUAAUUUCUUUCUAUUUUCAAAAAAACACACAAACACAGGAAAGGAACUAGUAUGCGAUAUAUAAUGCUCAGUAUUCAGCAAGUAGUAAGCUAGUAUCCCAUGCUGAACAGUAAAAAGACGCACUGACUGCUGUGAUAUCAGUUUCAUUGGGCGUGUGAACAGCAGGGCUCUGUGUCAUUCAGUAGGCCUCAUCUAAACAUGCUGACUGAUCCAUUCUCGCCCGACCUGUGGCUGAUGCCUGUUUUUCUGCGUCACUGCUCUGAGUUGCACAGUGCAUGUUGUACGUUUAAUUGAGAGCUGUGGCAUGAAGCUUUGAGGCUGCUAAUUGAAUGAGACUAUAGCACAGUAAGGAAGAUACAUGCGCACACACACACACACACACACACACAAGCUAGAAGCGUGAGUCAUGGGGAGUAUUCACUUCACGACACAGAAACCCAGCACACAAGCCCUUCCACCUCAUUCUGUCACUCCCGAUCAGUACGGCCAUAGUGCUUUCCACUCAGCACAUUUAACACACAUGAACCACAGCAAGAGUGCUGGAGUGUUUUACUAACUGCUAACUGGAGCAUACUGAGCUAUUAAACAAACUAAAUUAAGACAGCCUCUGUUAAAUUACACUUAACAUAAUAAUAAAUCAUUUUAUUAAUAAUUAAUAAACUACAUAAAACUGAUAAUAUUUCCCAAAAAUACAGCAAUUAUAAUCACUUCACAACAAAUUAAAAUAAAGUUAAUAUUACUUGUAAGCAGUAUAUUUUAUUGUAAGUCAGUUGCAAUCAAGCUGUAAUGUUAUUAAAUUAUGUAAAAAGUAUGAAUAUAUUAUUUAUUUGCGCAUUUGUAAUACAUCAAAUAUUUUAUUUAUUGUAAUCAUUAUUUAAUUUAAUUUAUGUGUUCAGCAAACAUGCAUUAAAUUGUUGAAAAAGUGACAUUAUAAUGUUAUAUUUCUUUUGGCCUUCCUAUUCUUCAAAAAACACUGUGACACAGGUCUGGUGUAAUGGCAUCAAAUGAAUAAACACCAUUUUACAAUAUUAAAUUUAAAAAAGUUAUUUUGUAAUAAUUGUAAUAAUAUUUUAUAAAUUUGAUCAAAUAAAUGCAGCCUUGGUGGGCAUAAGAGAUUUCUUUCAAAAACAAAAACAAAAAUCUUAGCAUAUAUACGACCAUAGUUGAAUAAAACCCCAUAUUGUUACUGAAUGAUUACCAUUUUACAUACUGUCAUAUUUAUGACUCAUAUACACGUUUCAAAUGAUAUUUUUUAGUUUCCAAAAACAUGGCAUUAUCAUGGUAGUUUUUUGUUUGUGGACAGAACAUGAACAUAUUCUCCUAAAGCAGAUUUACCAGGCUUCACUAUGCUUUACAAGGGCUCACUAAUGUAAUGCUAUCCAAUCGCAGUGUGUUGGUAUCAAACAGUAGGCAGACAGGUACUGUGGUGAAGAAAACCACAGGAGAAGAUGUGCAGGAGCGCACCAGGAGAGCCGGGCCAGGUGUGUGUCUGACAACUCUCAGACUGAAGAGCUGGCAGGGAAAGUCACACAGGUGUACGUCAGGAAAACCGCUCCCACACACUGAAGCUUUGACAAGCGACAGCAAAGCUCACGCUGAUUCCGGGAUAUGCGGUCUCCUUAAGCCCACCGGGGACCAGGCUGCCUGAACAGACCAUAUGGCACCGCUCUUCUGUGAUUUUAUCAAAAUUUUAACUUGUUUCCUCUGACUUCACAAUCCUCUCAACAGAGCAGUGUGGAUUAUGGGAGGGGACGGAGUGAUUUUCAACUUGUCCUCUGUCAAAGACACAGCGCAGUGCACUGCAGCGGCUGAGAGGGAAGCCAGAGCCACUUUAUCUUAAGCCGAGAGACUUUGUUUUCAAAUUGCAUAUGUAAGCGAUGAGCUUCAGUUAGCUGGUCCCUAUUGUAGAAUAAACCCAAAUCGCAUGAUUAGGACCAUAAGCUAAAGGGUCUUUCAUCACCCUGCCCUUACGAAACAAAAAUAUAUGGGAAUAUACUGGAAAAUAUAAUAAUAGUGCUAUGUUUUUCAAUACACUGCAUUAUACGCAUGGACCAUGUUGGGCUAUAUAUUGAUAUAUUUAAAAUGUGUAGCAAUGAAGAACACAUAUUAUCAACUUUGGUCUUUACUGUUCUUUACUACACAUUUCAUACAAUAUAUGAAAAUAUCUGCGAUGGAAUAUAAGAAAAGUGUUUACUGAGAACAUUUAAGGAUUUUUGUACAAUUGGAUGUUUUGUUAAAGUCACGGCAAUACGGUGACUGGAACAUUAGAUUUGACAUUUGUACUUAAUUUACUUAACUUUGGAUUGGAUAUUAUUCUGUAGAAUUCCCAUAUACAUUAAAUCUUUCAUUGUGUUGAUUGUUAAUGAGGAAAUAUAUUUACUUUGUGUAAGAGUGUAGAGGUUUAUUUUGGGUCCAACCAAAUUUAAUUCUGCUUAUUACACUAAAACUUUAUUAUUAAUUUAAAAUAUUUUAUGUAAUCAUAAUUAUAUAUUAUAAUAUUCAUAUUAUUUUAUAUUAUUUGACCACAGAAUGCUGUGCACUAUCGAAUACUUUUUCUGAUUGGUCAAUGUAAUAAAAGGAAAAGUUAUGAUUGUGGUUAGUUUGUGAUUUGAUAUUUUUUAUUUUGAAAUUGUAUUUAUUACAAAUAGUUGUGCAUUUACAGUAUCUUCUCAAAGUGCAUAAAUAUAUAUUUGACACACCAUAAUAGUAACAUCACCAUACCCAUUUAUUCACCUCUGACUGGCAAAUUAAUUCAGUUGAAUUAAAUGUACAGGGGGAAAUUAAAAGAUGCAAAAUCGCAGUUGUGUCAGUCAAAUUCACAAAACAUUAAAAUUCAGUAGCUACAUUUAAACGCACACACACUUACAAUUCGUCAAAGAGCUGCACUUUAUUAUACAGUAGGCCACAAUAGAAAGGUCCAAAUAUGAACUUCCAAAUGUCACAUCUCCUUUGAUUACAAAUGAUCACUUCUCAACAAAGUUAUAAGUUAUAAACACUUAAGGCGCCUUACAUGUCGCCAGUCAAACUGUUUCCACACAAUUAUGGCACAAGAAACACUGAAAUACUGAGAUGUAGAUUCAACAGUCUUUUAGAACCACAGGCUCUUCAGAUGAACAAAGAGAAGAUGGCUAUUUGUUUCCAAACAGGAUAGAAGUCUGAAACCUAAGUUUCGCUGCCUAUUUUGACUUAAAGGCAAUAUUUUUGUAUAAAAGUACCUCCUAAAGAAAAUUGGUUUCAGACUGACUUCCAAAGCAUUAUAACUUCACAUCUAAAAAUCAGCAACUUCAAGAAAUUCAAUUGAGCCUACGAGAUAGGCAAGCAAAUAUUAAUACUUAUUUCUAGUAGAAGACAUUUAUGAAUAAAUGUACUUCUUUCAAUCUGUCUUUUUUUCUUUUCACCAACUGCCAUGCACAGGAUUGUGGAAUAUUGCAAUGCACAUCUGUGUUGAAUUCAAAAACUGAGAUGAAGGCAUCUUAGUAGACAGGACAACUAUGGUUUUUCAGGUUUUGGACAGAAGAAUUAUCUGUCCGUUUGAAGUAAAUAAUGAAGCAGAAUGUUAACCCUCUUUCCAUGCAUUACUCUCACACAUUUAGAUAGCUGGCAUUUAAUGAACCCCAGGGUAUGAACUGGGUUAGAUGGAAAACAGAAAAGUGUGCUCAAUCUAAAUAUUGACUGAGGGGAAAGACUGAGAGAACCUUCAUCGUUUAAUCCAAAAGAGAAAAGGGAAGACGGACUUCAGCCACUAUCACAAGAAAGAAGGGAUUUAGUAUUUCCUGAAAUUUUUGCUGUUUGUGUGCCAUUAGAAACUAAAAAGGCAGAAGCGCGUAACACACACACACACACACACACACACACACGCCUGUGCUGUGGAGGUAUUGUCUAGCCCUCUGGGUACACUCUGAAACAGCAGUGUGGAACAAACACACGUAACAUGCGUGAGCCAUAUUAAUUAAUAUUUGCUAAUAAAAACACUCAUUUAUUUGUAUCCUAUGUGGAUAGUGACGAUCAAUAGCCCUGAUUGUCCACACUUAAACACUGUAAGUAUGAUUAGAGAAAGACACUUUGAGUCAUUUUGAGUUAUAUGCACUGAAUGAAAAAGCUCUGUUUUCUAAUGUUAUCACCAUUAUCUUUCAAACAAUUCUCGAGAUAUAAUCAUUUAAACGGUGGCUGUCAAACCUGUUUUUAAGAAAAAGGCAUCUAAAUACAUAAAUAACAGCCUAAAAAUGUAAAUGUUAGUUUAUAAUAUUGUGCAUAUAUUCAACUAUUAUUAUUUAGGCCUACUUUUUUCCAACUCACGAGUGGACAUUCCUAAGGUGAAUUUUAGGCUACGUACCAUGUUGUUUAAAAGCUGUUUUACCGAUGUCUUCGCCGAUUACAUAAUAACAUUUUUAACAUAAAUACACUUUUAAUAUACCUUCUGAUGUGCUUUAACUAGUAGCCUACUGUAAUGAGCGGUAAAUGCCGCCGUUUGAACUCGGGCGGUUACGAUCUGUCACAAGUAGCGUAAAAACGACAUUUACCGUUUAAAUUCUCAUUUAAAAAUAAGAGCUAAGGCUUUGUUUUAUCAAAAACGAACAUAAAACACAAAAGAGUCUAAAUUCAAGUUUGUUUUACUUAUAAUUGCGAUUUUCCACAAACGGCUUACUGCGCGACUUCUGACUCGAAAUGAUAAAGCACGUCACAUAUGCUUUAACAAACGAAAGAAGAGGCACUUUAUAUUGCAAGACAUAUUAGAGAAAACUGGAUUAAAGUCUCACACGUACCUAUAGAAACAUGGAAGAUCAAUUACCUGAAAAUUCCUGUGACCUGGCUUUGCCCACACUCCUCUCCACCACCUCAUUUUUUCCUGUCUUCAUCACUGCGGAUCCAGAGGCUGGAAUGCGCUUCUUCUUGGGUGGCCCCCAGAUGAAGUUCUCGGGCGGCUG